AGAACGAACGCUGGCGGCAUGCCUAACACAUGCAAGUCGAACGAGACCUUCGGGUCUAGUGGCGCACGGGUGCGUAACGCGUGGGAAUCUGCCCUUGGGUUCGGAAUAACAGUUAGAAAUGACUGCUAAUACCGGAUGAUGACGUAAGUCCAAAGAUUUAUCGCCCAGGGAUGAGCCCGCGUAGGAUUAGCUAGUUGGUGAGGUAAAGGCUCACCAAGGCGACGAUCCUUAGCUGGUCUGAGAGAUGAUCAGCCACACGUGGGACUGAGACACGGCCCAGAC
rnacentral:rRNA from 1 species